CAACUCGAAGAGCUCCUAUGAUGAGUCAAGAAUGCAGAAACAUUCACUUCGUAGCUUAAAUCUUUCUGUUCGGGUCGGAAUCCUCCAAUUACUCCGUAUAUGUCCAAAUCGGGUAAGCUGGGAAUCACCCGACUUGUAAAUGGAAUAACUCCUUCGUGUGAACUCUUUUUUGGCUGAUUCUUCUUCGAGGUGCUCGGUAUUUGAGCUGAGAAUGCAUUCCAAGUUUUCUCUGGGCAGGAUGAAUUGAUCUUGGACUUCGUCUGGACUGAACAAGGCUCAGGGGUCUUCUCAGGUAGGCGGAAUUGGCUUUGGCCUGAAGUUUUGGAUAAAACUUGGUUAAAAAUCCCACUUGGCUGCUCCUGGGUUGUUGCUUCUCGCCCAUAAUCUUCUCCAUGGUUGGUUCUUGGGUUGAUGACCGCAUCAUACCCUCCCUCUUCAAGAAGUUUUGUCCUCAAAACUUGAUCUCCUACACAUAGAUAAGUCAAGUUAGUCCAUUGAAGUAUAUGAGGGUGUAGAAUCUUACCUCGGAUCGGUUCAAGUGGUUUUUCAUCGGGUGGCUUCUCCUUGAUCUGAACGGUUUCAUUGAAAUUAUCAUCCCCAUUGGCAGCUCGUUUGAUAAGUAAAGGCGUGUACUCUUCACGAUUUUUGUUUUGGUCCAUGAAUUCCUUACUUUUCAAUGAAUCGCCUUUGUGGUCAUCCUUUGUACCUGUAAUAACUUCAACACUUUUGACAAGAGACAAGUGUGUUAAAACAGUCAUGGAAGCAUGUAAAUCGAAUUGACAAUUUUUGAAUUGCUCCUUUUCACUUCUCGGAAUUGAAACAAUUUCUUGUUUCUCCUCAGCAUCUAAAGACUCUUGUUCAACAUUGGACUUAGGUAAUUGCAGCACAUAUUCAAAGUUCUUAUCCAAUUUAAGAAAAGUAUCACUAUAACUUACAGUGAGAGAUUCCGUGAUAGGUUUGGCAUUUACUUGUGGCUCACGGUUCAGACUUGGUGUGACUGGUUUUGUUUUUGCUUCAUCUCUCAUUGUGGGACAUAAAUUUGCUGUGUGUCCUUUCUUUCUGCACCUAUAACAAGUUAGUCUUUUGAAAUCUUUAGGUACAAGAAACUUACCUUGAUUUCCAAUCAGAUUGGAGUUUGUUUCUUGCUUUAGAGUAGGUGUUUUGCCCUGUUGAAUCGUAAUGACAGAUUGAUGUGGUGCUUGUGAAUCUAAAUCACAACAUGUAGUCUCUUGGCUUAUCAACACAGCCGUUUUCUCCAUAGUACGACUUGAACCUGCAUCAACACCUUUUGGCAAAGACAAGUGUGAUAUGACAGAAUUGGGAGUUUUAAUUUUUGGUGUCAACAUAUCAAUUAAUUUGGAAAACAUCUCUUCUAUACUUUGUGACGUUUUAUCUACUUGUUUUGGAGGGCAAUUGGCAGCAAAAUGUCCUCUCUUAUGACAUUUAUAGCAGGUAGGAUUUUUCAAGACUGAGUUAGAGGACUUACCUCGAUUCACUUUUCCUUGUAGUUCAUGUAAGAGUGUUCCGGGUGAAUCUUGUUGAACCUCUUUUACUUGAACAAACUGCUCAGCCUUUAUUGGAGUCUCCCGGGUGCAUGAAGACGCUCUCCUUGGCUCAUGGUUGUGUGCAUUCAUUGGCUGAAAGAUAGGCUGCAGUUUUGGUGUAGUCACCACUUUCUUUGGCGUUUCCAUGUAUAAGGGCUUGGUGGUGCGAAUACGGGGCUGGUACUUCUUUGUAAACUCUCUAUACAUUCUGGAUUUGAGAGUUCCCCAAUCAAGAACAGCUUUGGUAGUGUAGUAAGUAGCAGCAUCCUCUCUUAACCACCAUUCAUAUGCAUCUCCUUUAAGUUUACUAAGGGCAUAGUACAGCUUUUCUUCUUUAGGUAUGUUGUUUGAGCGCAACCACUGCUUCAUGUUGGUCUCCCAUCUCAAAUACACCUCAGGGUCUUUACUGGUUCCUGUAAAGAUUAAGGAAUUAGAUGUGUAAUCACACACCUUGUUAGAUCGCUUCUUUGGGCUGGCUGAUGAGGUGCGAGUAUGCACUUGGUAUGAGGCAACUCCGUGGUGGCUAGAAUUCUCUUUGCGCUUGGGAGAACGGUACUGGUAUCCUACAUAAGAAUCUCCUUCACGUUCAUACUCAUCUUCAUAAACAUAAGGAUUCGGUUGAAUCCAAGUUGUUGUUGCGGUUUGAGGCUCGGUAUGGUGCUGGCUUGUAGGGAAACGGUCUGGUGGCUCUGGUUCAUGCUCUUCACCUCCUGGUUCUUCCUCAUAUUCAGAGCUGGCGUAGUCAUCUCCAUACCAUGGUUGAACUCCAUAGUCACCAUCUUCUCCAACUAGGUUUUGGUCUCCUCCAUGGCUUGAAUCGGAUUCAUAAGAGUAAAAGUUUUCCUUUGCCAUAUAAUAGGACGUCGUCAUGACUCUCUUUUUCUCCUAGGAAUAUCUCGUAACACAAGACAAAGAAGAAGAGGAAUCAAAACGUAAUCAAUUGAAGGAGAAAAAAGAAUUUUGCAAAUAACAAAAAUAAGGAAACAAUGAAAAGGGAAUAUUCUUAUUUUCUUUUUCUUUUUAAUUAUGACAACUCAAAUUGAAAACAGAAACAAUAAUAUCAAAUUUUUAUUUUUAUUUUCAGAGUUUAUAAAAAUAAAUUUCAGAAAUUAAUUAAAAAUAACAAAAUACGAAUUUUUUUUUUUUGGCUUUUCUUUUGAUAAAACAAAAUAAACAGCAAAACUCAAAAAAAAAAAAAAAAAAAAAAAAAAAAAAAAAAAGAUAAAGUGAAACGAAUUCACCUGGGUUAUAGGAGCUUUUAGCUCUGAUACCAAAUGAUAUAAGAUUGGAACCAAUCCAACUUAUGAUCACUCAAUGAUCAAGAGAUUCCAAGCUUAACUUGCGGAAGGUGGAAUUCACGAGCUGGCUAUAACGCACUCUCUCGUGAAUCAAGGGAUGGAACGAUGGAUAGAUGCGAUUGACUCACUCAAUCAAUGAACAAACUAGAAGUUUGAAUCACUCAAACAACUUGAUUUGCAGACUCAAAAGAACUUAAUUGACUCACUCAAAUAAGAACUAAUGAAAGGAAACACAAAGAAUUCGCAACUUUGUGGAAGAAAAGAAAACAAUGUUUCUUAUGAACUUUAAAAUCUCGAUUAAGGGUGAAUAAAAAUGUUACAAGUGACAUGAGCUUUAUAGGCUCGACCUCUAGGCAUUUCUAACAGUCUAAUAAUUCAAAAAGGAAAGAAAAUACACGAUCAAAUGAAUGAGAAAUAUCAAAGGGAUUGUCUUUGAUAUAAUGUAGCCGUUAGGCUUGAAUGCUUGGUCCAAAAAGAGAAACUCGUGGGCUUUUAUAUCUUGAAAGCUUCUGGAUGAUUCCAUGGCUUAUUAAUCUUCUAAUAACUCCCUUAAGUCGCACCAAAUCAGAAGAUAGCCGUUGGGGUUGGGCUUUGAAUGCUCUCGGGUCCAUAUAUGGUAACUCUUGGUGUAUGAUUAGGCAAGAUUGAAUCCACUUAAUACAAUGGCUGAGAAUGAAGCUUGAGGUGAUAUUAGGAGCCUCUAGUUGUAUUAGAAACUCUCCUGGACGCCAAAGUUUGGUUUGCAAGUGACUAAACCCGUCAGCUUCCAAAUAAGGCAAGCCGAGAAUCAUCUGGUUUGGAAAAUUAAUAUCUCCUAAACCAAAAUCGGUUUUGACUUGAUUCCAACUCGAAGAGCUCCUAUGAUGAGUCAAGAAUGCAGAAACAUUCACUUCGUAGCUUAAAUCUUUCUGUUCGGGUCGGAAUCCUCCAAUUACUCCGUAUAUGUCCAAAUCGGGUAAGCUGGGAAUCACCCGACUUGUAAAUGGAAUAACUCCUUCGUGUGAACUCUUUUUUGGCUGAUUCUUCUUCGAGGUGCUCGGUAUUUGAGCUGAGAAUGCAUUCCAAGUUUUCUCUGGGCAGGAUGAAUUGAUCUUGGACUUCGUCUGGACUGAACAAGGCUCAGGGGUCUUCUCGGGUAGGCGGAAUUGGCUUUGGCCUGAAGUUUUGGAUAAAACUUGGUUAAAAAUCCCACUUGGCUGCUCCUGGGUUGUUGCUUCUCGCCCAUAAUCUUCUCCAUGGUUGGUUCUUGGGUUGAUGACCGCAUCAUACCCUCCCUCUUCAAGAAGUUUUGUCCUCAAAACUUGAUCUCCUACACAUAGAUAAGUCAAGUUAGUCCAUUGAAGUAUAUGAGGGUGUAGAAUCUUACCUCGGAUCGGUUCAAGUGGUUUUUCAUCGGGUGGCUUCUCCUUGAUCUGAACGGUUUCAUUGAAAUUAUCAUCCCCAUUGGCAGCUCGUUUGAUAAGUAAAGGCGUGUACUCUUCACGAUUUUUGUUUUGGUCCAUGAAUUCCUUACUUUUCAAUGAAUCGCCUUUGUGGUCAUCCUUUGUACCUGUAAUAACUUCAACACUUUUGACAAGAGACAAGUGUGUUAAAACAGUCAUGGAAGCAUGUAAAUCGAAUUGACAAUUUUUGAAUUGCUCCUUUUCACUUCUCGGAAUUGAAACAAUUUCUUGUUUCUCCUCAGCAUCUAAAGACUCUUGUUCAACAUUGGACUUAGGUAAUUGCAGCACAUAUUCAAAGUUCUUAUCCAAUUUAAGAAAAGUAUCACUAUAACUUACAGUGAGAGAUUCCGUGAUAGGUUUGGCAUUUACUUGUGGCUCACGGUUCAGACUUGGUGUGACUGGUUUUGUUUUUGCUUCAUCUCUCAUUGUGGGACAUAAAUUUGCUGUGUGUCCUUUCUUUCUGCACCUAUAACAAGUUAGUCUUUUGAAAUCUUUAGGUACAAGAAACUUACCUUGAUUUCCAAUCAGAUUGGAGUUUGUUUCUUGCUUUAGAGUAGGUGUUUUGCCCUGUUGAAUCGUAAUGACAGAUUGAUGUGGUGCUUGUGAAUCUAAAUCACAACAUGUAGUCUCUUGGCUUAUCAACACAGCCGUUUUCUCCAUAGUACGACUUGAACCUGCAUCAACACCUUUUGGCAAAGACAAGUGUGAUAUGACAGAAUUGGGAGUUUUAAUUUUUGGUGUCAACAUAUCAAUUAAUUUGGAAAACAUCUCUUCUAUACUUUGUGACGUUUUAUCUACUUGUUUUGGAGGGCAAUUGGCAGCAAAAUGUCCUCUCUUAUGACAUUUAUAGCAG
rnacentral:lncRNA from 1 species